rnacentral:rRNA from 1 species
GAGUUUGAUCGUGGCUCAGAGCGAACGCUGGCGGCAGGCCUAACACAUGCAAGUCGAACGAACUCUUCGGAGUUAGUGGCGGACGGGUGAGUAACACGUGGGAACGUGCCUUUUGGUUCGGAAUAACUCAGGGAAACUUGUGCUAAUACCGAAUGUGCCCUUCGGGGAAGGAUUUAUCGCCAUUAGAGCGGCCGCGUCUGAUUAGCUAGUUGGUGAGGUAAAGGCUCACCAAGGCGACGAUCAGUAGCUGGUCUGAGAGGAUGAUCAGCCACAUUGGGACUGAGACACGGCCCAAACUCCUACGGGAGGCAGCAGUGGGGAAUCUUGCGCAAUGGGCGAAAGCCUGACGCAGCCAUGCCGCGUGAAUGAUGAAGGUCUUAGGAUUGUAAAAUUCUUUCACCGGGGACGAUAAUGACGGUACCCGGAGAAG